rfam:Clostridium bornimense replicon M2/40_rep1, complete genome, type strain M2/40T
CUUACCUUUAAGUACAGUCCAGAGAGGCUGAGAAGGUAUUUGGGAAAUACGGUAAACAAUAUAGACCUUCUGCGCCGGCAGAAGGUCUUUUUAUA